rnacentral:lncRNA from 1 species
CUGGAAGGGCGGUGGGAAACCCUGAGCCAGAAGUGGUUCUUAUUUUCGCUCAUGUGUGUGCAGUGAGUAUUUAGAGCAUAGGAUAUUGUGCUGCCCCUGAACCUUAUGACUUCCCAGAGGUGACCAACGUUUUAGCUAAAAACAUUUAGCUAAAUGUUUGAAUGGAAUUGUGCUUUAAAAUAAGGUACAACUUGCUGAGCAUGGUGGUGCAUGACUACAGUCCCAGCUACUCGGGAGGCUGAGGAGAAAGGCCCAGGAAUUCAAGUCCAGCCUGGGCAACAUAGCAAGACACGUCUCUACAUAAUAAUAAUAAUAAUUAAUACAUAAAAUAAGGUACAAGAUGCUGGGGGUAAAGAGAGAAGAGGAGGGGCAUCAUGUCAAGCCUCUCCAGGAGAAAGGACACACCUGCUGGAUUGUGUGAGGGAUUUAGAAUAGGGGCAUAUAAGGGAACACAGGGCAGUCAAUAAUUCUACACAGGCAGCAAAUUUGAUGCUGAAGGAUGACCAAUGUGGAUGCCAUGCCACUUAACGCUACUGUUGCAGCCGCAGAUCCUAGUAUUUGAAAUAUGCCUCAAGAAGGAAACACUUAAGAAGUGCUGAAUAAGAAUUCCAAUCCUGGCUUCAUCGCUAACUUGCUUUGGGAACUUGGGCUUUAAUUUGCUCAAAGCCUCAGUUUGCUCAUCUGUAAAUUGGGGCAAAUAACAUCUGUUCAACUUACCUACCAGAAAUGUUGUGUGGCUAAAAAGAAAUAGAAGAUAUGAAAAUGCUUUGGCUAUAUUCAAAGUUCUAUAUACAUGGAAGAUAUUCAGGAUCCUCCCACCUUCAAAGUUCAUAUCUAAGAAAACCCCUACUAAAUCCUUUAGAAUGGAACUGCUCAAUAUAGUAGCCACUAGCCACAUUGACUACUGAGUACUUAAAUGUGACUAGUGCAACUGAGGAACUGAAUUUUUAAUUUUAUUUAACUGUAACUAAUUUUAAUUGAAAAACUGAUACUCUAUUCAAUUACUGGAAAACUUUUAAGUACAUUUGGACCAACCUGGACUCGUGAAUUUACUUUUGUUCCCAGUGUUUUUUUCUAUUUUUUUAUUGAUAACAUAAUAGAUAUACAUAUUUUGAGUGUGUAUUCAAACAUUUAAUAUUAAUACAUUCAUAUAAUUUGUAAAGAUCAAAUCAGUGUAACUGGGAUAUCCAUUACCUUAAAUGAAUCUACUUUUUAAAUGGUAUUUAUAAAAUCUAAAUAUAUGUGAAGUGUUUCUGCUUAAAUUUAGUGUUUGAAUUGAGAUGUGCUCCAAGUGUACAACACACACCAAAUUUCAAAGACUUAGUUAAAAAAAAAACACUGGGAAGGGCAGGAGGAAGGGAGAGAUAGGGAGAGAUUUGUUAAAGGAUAUAAAAUUAUAGCUAGAUAGGAGGAAUAGGUUCUAGUGUAGUAUGGCCAUAGUUAACAAUAAUAUAUAGCUUCAAAGAGCUAGAAGGAGGAUAUUGAAUGUUUCCAACAUAAGCAUCAAUAUUUGAGAUUAUAGAUAUGCUAAUUACAGUGUUCUGAUCACUAUACAUUGUAUAUUGAAACAUCA